GGUCCAGACUUUGAUCAUGGCUCACCGAUGAACGCUGGCGGCGUGCCUAAUACAUGCAAGUAGAACGCUGAAGCUUGGUGCUUGCACCGAGCGGAUGAGUUGCGAACGGGUGAGUAACGCGUAGGUAACCUGCCUCUUAGCGGGGGAUAACUAUUGGAAACGAUAGCUAAUACCGCAUAAAAGUCGACAUUGCAUGAUGUUGACUUGAAAGGUGCAACUGCAUCACUAAGAGAUGGACCUGCGUUGUAUUAGCUAGUUGGUGAGGUAACGGCUCACCAAGGCGACGAUACAUAGCCGACCUGAGAGGGUGAUCGGCCACACUGGGACUGAGACACGGCCCAGACUCCUACGGGAGGCAGCAGUAGGGAAUCUUCGGCAAUGGACGGAAGUCUGACCGAGCAACGCCGCGUGAGUGAAGAAGGUUUUCGGAUCAUAAAGCUCUGUUGUAAGAGAAGAACGAGUGUGAGAGUGGAAAGUUCACACUGUGACGGUAACUUACCAGAAAGGGACGGCUAACUACGUGCCAGCAGCCGCGGUAACACGUAGGUCCCGAGCGUUAUCCGGAUUUAUUGGGCGUAAAGCGAGCGCAGGCGGUUAGAUAAGUCUGAAGUUAAAGGCUGUGGCUUAACCAUAGUACGCUUUGGAAACUGUUUAACUUGAGUGCAGAAGGGGAGAGUGGAAUUCCAUGUGUAGCGGUGAAAUGCGUAGAUAUAUGGAGGAACACCGGUGGCGAAAGCGGCUCUCUGGUCCGUAACUGACGCUGAGGCUCGAAAGCGUGGGGAGCAAACAGGAUCAGAUACCCUGGUAGUCCACGCCGUAAACGAUGAGUGCUAGGUGUUGGGUCCUUUCCGGGACUCAGUGCCGCAGCUAACGCAUUAAGCACUCCGCCUGGGGAGUACGACCGCAAGGUUGCAACUCAAAUGAAUUGACGG
rnacentral:rRNA from 1 species